AGUGGCGGACGGGUGAGUAACGCGUGAGAAUCUGCCUUGGGGUCGGGGACAACCACUGGAAACGGUGGCUAAUACCGGAUAAGCCGAUUGGUGAAAGAUUUAUUGCCCGAAGAGGAGCUCGCGUCUGAUUAGCUAGUUGGUGAGGUAAGAGCUCACCAAGGCAGCGAUCAGUAGCUGGUCUGAGAGGACGAUCAGCCACACUGGGACUGAGACACGGCCCAGACUCCUACGGGAGGCAGCAGUGGGGAAUUUUCCGCAAUGGGCGAAAGCCUGACGGAGCAAGACCGCGUGAGGGAGGAAGGCUCUUGGGUUGUAAACCUCUUUUCUCAGGGAAGAAGAUCUGACGGUACCUGAGGAAUCAGCCUCGGCUAACUCCGUGCCAGCAGCCGCGGUAAUACGGAGGAGGCAAGCGUUAUCCGGAAUUAUUGGGCGUAAAGCGUCCGCAGGUGGCGAUUCAAGUCUGCUGUCAAAGCACGGGGCUUAACUCCGUAAAGGCAGUGGAAACUGAAUAGCUAGAGUGCCGUAGGGGUAGAGGAAUUCCCGGUGUAGCGGUGAAAUGCGUAGAGAUCGGGAAGAACAUCGGUGGCGAAAGCGCUCUACUGGACGGCAACUGACACUCAGGGACGAAAGCUAGGGGAGCGAAUGGGAUUAGAUACCCC
rnacentral:rRNA from 1 species